GAUGAACGCUGGCGGCGUGCUUAACACAUGCAAGUCGAACGGAAAGGCCCAAUCUUGCUUGGGUACUCGAGUGGCGAACGGGUGAGAAACACGUGGGUGAUCUGCCCUGCACUUCGGGAUAGGCCUGGGAAACUGGGUCUAAUACCGGAUAGGCCGACAUUAUGGGUGGUGUGGUGGACCGUUUUUCGGUGUGGGAUGAGCUCGCGGCCUAUCAGCUUGUUGGUGGGGUAAUGGCCUACCAAGGCGUCGAGGUGUAGCCGGGCUGUGAGGGUGUACGGCGACAUUGGGACUGACAGACGGCAGCGACGCCGACUGGUGGCAGAUGGGGGGAAGAUUGCACAAGGGGCGCCAGCCGGAUGAAGAGACGCCGCGGGGUGGAUGACGGUCUUGUGGUUGUAAACUAGUUUCGCUAGGAACGAAGCGUUAUGUGACGGUACCUGGAGAAGAAGCACCGGCUAACUACGUG
rnacentral:rRNA from 1 species